GCGCUCAUGAGGGCUGGUCUUGCCCACAUGGUCAGGACCUACCCUUCAGGAGCAAGAAAAAUAGAACUGGUUUGGGGGUGUCCUGUCUGAGUGGACAUGGGACACCACGGUUUUCAGUACAACA